rnacentral:rRNA from 1 species
UGGGGAAUAUUGCACAAUGGGGGAAACCCUGAUGCAGCGACGCCGCGUGAGCGAUGAAGGCUUUCGAGUCGUAAAGCUCUGUCCUAUGGGAAGAUAAUGACGGUACCAUAGAAGAAAGCCCCGGCUAAUCACGUGCCAGCAGCCGCGGUAAUACGUAUGGACCGAGCGUUGUCCGGAAUCAUUGGGCGUAAAGGGUACGUAGGCGGCCCAGUAAGUUAGAAGUGAAAUAAUAUAGCUCAACUAUAUAAAGCUUUUAAAACUGCUAGGCUUGAGAGAUGGAAGGGAAAGUGGAAUUCCUAGUGUGGCGGUGAAAUGCGCAGAUAUUAGGAAGAAUACCGGUGGCGAAGGCGACUUUCUGGUCAUCAUCUGACGCUGAGGUACGAAAGCGUGGGUAGCAAACAGG